AUUUUAUGCAGGGCCAGGCUUGGGCUAUUAUGAAUGUUGCUGAACACUGUUAAUCAAGCUUACACAGCUAUUUUGAUGGCAAACAAUUAGAACUCUGCAGCUCUACCUUGCAAUUAGCUUCAGGGAUACGGACCUGCACACCCUAAUAAUGAAAGAGACCUCCUUCAAGCACGUACUCCCUUGGAUUAUUCACUCUGGAGAAAAUCAGCUUCCACAUCAUGAGUGCUGUGAAGAGGCUCACAUGAGUGAACUUGGAAGAAGAUCCCCUGAGGCCUGGCAACAACCAAAUAAGCUUGGAAGUGUGCUCUUCAGCCCUGCUUGAGCCUUGACAGGAUAGCUGCAUGGACCAACUCACAAUUUGACCACAGCCUUAUGGGACAAAUGGAGCCAAUGACACCCAGCUAAGCCAUACCUAGAUUCCUGAUGCACAGAAACUGUAAAAUGAUAAGUGUUUGCUGUUUUAAGCUGCUAAUUUUGGGUAAAAUUUGUUAUAUGCAAUAGAUGACUAGUAGAAGGAUUAAAUGAGAUAAUUCACGUAAAGAACUUAGCAUGCACCCAAACAAUGGUAACUGUUAAUUGAACUGCUAAUAGUA
rnacentral:lncRNA from 1 species